AUCUGCUCCCAUCAAUCUUCUGAUCGUUUAAACCAGGUGCUUCGAUGGGCUUUGGGUUCCAUAGAAAUCUUGCUGAGCAGGCAUUGUCCUAUCUGGUAUGGCUACAAUGGAAGGCUGAAGCUUUUGGAGAGAAUAGCAUACAUCAAUACUAUCGUCUACCCUAUCACCUCAAUUCCACUUAUUGCUUACUGUAUGCUUCCGGCGUUCUGUCUGUUGACUGGAAAGUUCAUUAUUCCUGAGAUAAGCAAUUUUGCCAGUAUGUGGUUCAUUCUCCUUUUCGUCUCCAUCUUUGCAACGGGCAUUCUUGAACUCAGAUGGAGUGGUGUUAGUAUUGAAGACUGGUGGAGGAACGAACAAUUUUGGGUCAUUGGUGGUACUUCAGCUCAUCUGUUCGCCGUCUUCCAGGGUCUCUUAAAGGUUCUUGCUGGAAUCGAUACCAACUUCACUGUGACGUCGAAGGCCAGCGAUGACGAUGGGGAUUUUGCAGAG
rnacentral:misc_RNA from 1 species